UCCUGAAAAGGAUAAUUUCAUCUGUCUGUGACUCAGAACCUGGACAUUGCUGUUGGAUGCUUGUAAACCAAGAGUCAUGUUAGCUGCACAAAUACAUUGUUACAAAGCCAAAUCUAAUUAAAAUAUGGGCACACCUUAAACAAUUAUUUUUUGGGGCUAGUUUGCCCUGAGUAAGGGGCAGAAGACAUAACGGCACCAUGCCAGGACACACUAGAAAGGUGUGCCUUUCCCUGGCAGCUCACAAAACAUACAUUACAUAAUAUCAUAUGCUACUUAAAGUGACAUGCACAUUUAUGCUGGUGUAGCCACUGUGACAGUACCUCUCUGAAACUCUUCUAUAGGUGUUCCUGGCAGCAAAAAGGGCAAUUAGCUUCAAUUUUUUAAAGGAUUCUUUCUAAAGACUUAAAUAUGGGCUCAAGGCCCAACCCAGAAAGUAGGGAAACAAUAUACGUACAUCAAAUUACCCUCAACAUCCUUGAUAGGCAACACUUCCGCACUGGGAUAUACUAAGUCCAGGUUUAUUUUUCAGGAGGGACAGAGGGCAACAACAGAAGCAGCGUGGAAUAACCCGCAUUUUGUAGAUUCACAGUACUAGAUGCAGUCAGAGAGUUUCCACCUCUCCACCGCUUCAUGCUAGAGGAUUUUAAUCUCUAGGACAUUAAUUAGUGCCAAUGAGCAGUGCCUCCAGCUGACUGCUUGUUUCUGAUUCCGGAUCUCUUCUAACUCAGUCGUCCAGCUGAAUUGCAAAGUUCAAGCAUCCUAGACAACUGAACGCCAACUCAGAAGCAGGCAGUUCCCUCCAGCUACUGAAGAAGACAGACAAGUCUCUCUCUCCAAGACACAAUUCUUCACUCUUCUGUAAGUAGGGUAAAAUUUAGAUAGAUC